CCUACGGGAGGCAGCAGUAGGGAAUCUUCCGCAAUGGACGAAAGUCUGACGGAGCAACGCCGCGUGAACGAUGAAGGCCUUCGGGUCGUAAAGUUCUGUUGUUAGGGAAGAACAAGUGCUAGUUGAAUAAGCUGGCACCUUGACGGUACCUAACCAGAAAGCCACGGCUAACUACGUGCCAGCAGCCGCGGUAAUACGUAGGUGGCAAGCGUUGUCCGGAAUUAUUGGGCGUAAAGCGCGCGCAGGCGGUUUCUUAAGUCUGAUGUGAAAGCCCCCGGCUCAACCGGGGAGGGUCAUUGGAAACUGGGAAACUUGAGUGCAGAAGAGGAAAGUGGAAUUCCAAGUGUAGCGGUGAAAUGCGUAGAGAUUUGGAGGAACACCAGUGGCGAAGGCGACUUUCUGGUCUGUAACUGACGCUGAGGCGCGAAAGCGUGGGGAGCAAACAGGAUUAGAUACCCUGGUAGUCCACGCUGUAAACGAUGAGUGCUAAGUGUUAGAGGGUUUCCGCCCUUUAGUGCUGAAGUUACGCAUUAAGCNCNCGCGUGGAGUACGUCGCAGANGAACGUAAGAAGUAGAGCGNGAGAGNGCGAGCGACGACGAGGGAGAGG
rnacentral:rRNA from 1 species